rnacentral:rRNA from 1 species
GACGAACGCUGGCGGCGUGCCUAAUACAUGCAAGUCGAACGCAGUGGGGACGGGUGAGUAACACGUGGGUAACCUUCCAUCAGAGGGGAGAACACUUGAAAACAGGCGCUCAACCGAUACUGCUGGUUGGACCCGGGGUGCCUUAGCGAGUUGGUGAGGUAAAGGCCUACAAAGGCCACGAUGCAUAACCGACCUGAGAGGGGGAUCAGCCACACUGGAACUGAGACACGGCCCAGACUCCUACGGGAGGCAGCAGGAGGGAAUCUUCGGCAAUGGACGAAAGUCUGACCGAGCAACGCCGCGUGAGUGAAGAAGGUUUUCGGAUCGUAAAACUCUGUUGUUAGGGAAGCGGUAUCUAACCAGAAAGCCACGGCUAACUACGUGCCAGCAGCCGCGGUAAUAC